GGGCCCUUAGCUCAGCUGGGAGAGCGCCUGCUUUGCAAGCAGGAGGUCGCCGGUUCGAUCCCGGCAGGGUCCA
rnacentral:tRNA from 1 species